GCGGGCAUGGUUUAGUGGCAGAACGUAUCCUUGCCAAGGAUAAGACGGGGUUUCGAUUACCCCUGCCCGCACCA
rnacentral:tRNA from 1 species